rnacentral:rRNA from 1 species
UAGGGAAUCUUCCACAAUGGGCGAAAGCCUGAUGGAGCAACACCGCGUGAGUGAAGAAGGUCUUCGGAUCGUAAAACUCUGUUGUUAGAGAAGAACACGAGUGAGAGUAACUGUUCAUUCGAUGACGGUAUCUAACCAGCAAGUCACGGCUAACUACGUGCCAG